GUAUUGGACAAUGGGUGCAACUCUGAUCCAGCCAUGCCGCUUGUGUGAAGAAGGUCUUCGUAUUGUAAAGCACUUUAAGAGGGGAGAAUGGGCUUUAGGCUAAUAGCCUGCAGUUUUGACGUUACCAACAGAUUGAUCUUCGGCAAACUGUGAGCUAGCAGCCGCGGCAAUACAGAGGGUGCAAGCGUUAAUCGGAAUUACUGGGCGUAAAGCGCGCGUAGGUGGUUCAGUAAGAUGGGUGUGAAAUCCCCGGGCUUAACCUGGAACUGCUUUCAUAACUGCUGAGCUAGAGUACGGUAGAGGGUAGUGGAAUUUCCUGUGUAGCGGUGAAAUGCGUAGAUAUAGGAAGGAACACCAGUGGCGAAGGCGACUACCUGGACUGAUACUGACACUGAGGUGCGAAAGCGUGGGGAGCAAAC
rnacentral:rRNA from 1 species